GUGUGUGUACGAAAGGAGAGAAGGUUAGCACUCCCCUUGAUAAGGAUGGACAACACAUAUAAUGUCAAGGCACUGUCGCUCUGGUUAAUAUAUGUGU